UUCUCCCAUUGGAGACAUCUAAGACAAUUGGAACUAUAUAGAGAAGAUCAGCAUGCCCUAUGCCCUGUGCAAGGAUGACUGACAGACAAACUGAGAAAUUAUCCAAAUUUUU
rfam:Glycine soja cultivar W05 scaffold3791_12, whole genome shotgun sequence.